UGCAAACCUUCUCAACCAUCUCUCAGGCUGCAAAAUUCCAACUGCGACCAAGAAUUAUCUGAUGUACUUAUUAUUACAAUCUUUACUGAACCAGCCCUGGAAUUAAUAAAAAUCUGUAUAUGGAUGAUUUUCUCUGAUGGGACCACUAUGGAAGCCGUAGUAACAAUUAACUAUCCUUUGAAGGGAAAGAUUAGGUCUUCUUCAGGUGGAUAAAAAAAAUGCUCUCCCUUAAAAAAAAUUUUUUUAAAAAUGCAUACAAUAAAGUAAAUCUCUUCUGCACUGCACACAUACUCCACUUUUGUAUAACUCUGGAUGUCAGAGUAAAGGCAGACAGAUCCACCAAUCAGCCACAACAUUCUGACCACUGACAGCUGAAGAGAACAACAUCCAUCAUCUUGUUCUAAUGCAACGUUCUGCUGGGAAACCUUGACGUUCAUGUGGAUGUUUGACAUGUACCACCACCUAAACACUGCAGGACAAACAACCCCCUAAUCUCCAUGGCAACAGCAGUCCUUGAUGCCAGCUGCCACCCUCAGCAGGACAAACUAAAACUGCUACUACAGGAGUGGUCCGAGGAACAUGACAGAGCUAAGCUGUUCACCUGGGUUCCACACUCUCCACAUCCAGAUCUGAUUGAGCAUCUGUGGGAUGGUCCAGGAUCAGCCUGGUCUAGAUGGCGCUACCCUCAUGAAUGGAGCAUCAACAAGUGACGUCUACAACACAACAGAAAUGUCUGGAAGCCAGUGGCCACCACUUUGAGCACCUCUUGUAAUUGUAGAGGCCAAAGAUAACUUUUAUUAAUCUUGUGAUGUCUGAAUAAAUUUGGUAUUGAAA